rnacentral:piRNA from 1 species
UGGGACUUCAGAAUUUUGCUACAGGGCAUA